GGGCCCGUAGCUCAGCCAGGUGGAGCGGCCGGCUCAUAACCGGUAGGUCGUGGGUUCGAAUCCCACCGGGCCCA
rnacentral:tRNA from 3 species